rnacentral:rRNA from 1 species
AGAGUUUGAUUAUGGCUCAGGAUGAACGCUGGCGGCGUGCUUAACACAUGCAAGUCGAACGAGGUCCAACCUUCGGGUGAAGACCGAGUGGCGAACGGGUGAGUAACACGUGGGGAACCUGCCCUUCUCUCUGGGAUAACCUCGGGAAACCGGAGCUAAUACCGGAUACUCCUUGCGGACCGCAUGGUCUGCUCGGGAAAGCUCCGGCGGAGAAGGAUGGCCCCGCGGCCCAUUAGCUUGUUGGUGGGGUAACGGCCCACCAAGGCGACGAUGGGUAGCCGAGCUGAGAGGCUGAUCGGCCACACUGGGACUGAGACACGGCCCAGACUCCUACGGGAGGCAGCAGUGGGGAAUCUUGCGCAAUGGGCGAAAGCCUGACGCAGCAACGCCGCGUGCGGGAUGAAGGCUCUCGGGUCGUAAACCGCUUUCAGCAGGGAUGAAAAUGACAGUACCUGCAGAAGAAGCCCCGGCUAAAUACGUGCCAGCAGCCGCGGUAAUACGUAUGGGGCAAGCGUUAUCCGGAUUCAUUGGGCGUAAAGCGCGCGUAGGCGGCUUGUUAAGUCAGGCGUGAAAUCCGGGGGCUCAACCCGCGGCUUGCGUCUGAAACUGGCAGGCUUGAGUCUGGUAGAGGAAAGUGGAAUUCCUGGUGUAGCGGUGAAAUGCGCAGAUAUCAGGAGGAACACCAGUGGCGAAGGCGGCUUUCUGGGCCACGACUGACGCUGAGGCGCGAAAGCUAGGGAAGCGAACAGGAUUAGAUACCCUGGUAGUC